AAAUCAAUAAUCUAAUGUUUUGAAAGCAUUAAUUAGGUUGAAUGACCUUUGAUUUU
rnacentral:tRNA from 1 species